rnacentral:rRNA from 1 species
UACAGGACAGUGCAAGUGUUAUUCAUCUUUAUUGGGCGUAAAGGGUAUGUAGGCGGUUUUUAAACCUUAGUUUGAAAUGCUGGAGUUAAAACUUUAGAAUAGGACUUUGAUAUUUCUAAACUAAUAGAGUAGGAAAGAGGUUGGAAGAAUUUCUCAACAACUAAAGCAGUAAAAUGCUGGCAACUGAGAAGGACUACAUAUGGCGGAGGCAUCCUUCCAUUUUCAACUGACGCUGAGGUACGGAAACCUAGGUAAGUCAAACCGG